CUACGGGUUGCAGCAGUGGGGAAUAUUGCACAAUGGGCGCAAGCCUGAUGCAGCCAUGCCGCGUGUAUGAAGAAGGCCUUCGGGUUGUAAAGUACUUUCCGCGGGGAGGAAGGGAGUAAAGUUAAUACCUUUGCUCAUUGACGUUACCCGCAGAAGAAGCACCGGCUAACUCCGUGCCAGCAGCCGCGGUAAUACGGAGGGGUGCAAGCGUUAAUCGGAAUUACUGGGCGUAAAGCGCGCGCAGGCGGUUUGUUAAGUCAGAUGUGAAAUCCCCGGGCGCAACCCGGGAACUGCAUCUGAUACUGGCAAGCUUGAGUCUCGUAGAGGGGGGUAGAAUUCCAGGUGUAGCGGUGAAAUGCGUAGAGAUCUGGAGGAAUACCGGUGGCGAAGGCGGCCCCCUGGACGAAGACUGACGCUCAGGUGCGAAAGCGUGGGGAGCAAACAGGAUUAGAUACCCGGGUAGUC
rnacentral:rRNA from 1 species